rnacentral:rRNA from 1 species
UCGGGAAUUUUGCGCAAUGGACGAAAGUCUGACGCAGCAACGCCGCGUGAGGGAUGAAGGCCUUCGGGUUGUAAACCUCUUUUGUCAGGGACGAUGAUGACGGUACCUGACGAAUAAGCCACGGCUAACUACGUGCCAGCAGCCGCGGUAAUACGUAGGUGGCAAGCGUUGUCCGGAUUUACUGGGCGUAAAGAGCGCGCAGGCGGUCGUUCAAGUCGCGUGUGAAAGCCCCCGGCUCAAUUGGGGAGGGUCACGCGAUACUGAUCGACUCGAAGGCAGGAGAGGGUAGUGGAAUUCCCGGUGUAGUGGUGAAAUGCGUAGAUAUCGGGAGGAACACCAGUGGCGAAGGCGACUACCUGGCCUGUUUCUUGACGCUGAGGCGCGAAAGCUAGGGGAGCAAACGGGAUUAGAUACCCCGGUAGUCCUAGCCGUAAACGAUGGACACUAGGUGUUGGUGGUAUCAACCCGCAGUGCCGAAGCUAACGCAUUAAGUGUCCCG